rnacentral:tRNA from 1 species
GCGGAAGUGGUGAAAUUGGUAGACACGCCAUCUUGAGGGGGUGGUGAGCUUAGCUCGUGCGGGUUCAAGUCCCGCCUUCCGCACCA